CUUAACACAUGCAAGUCGAACGGAAAGGCCCUGCUUUUGUGGGGUGCUCGAGUGGCGAACGGGUGAGUAACACGUGAGUAACCUGCCCUUGACUUUGGGAUAACUUCAGGAAACUGGGGCUAAUACCGGAUAGGAGCUCCUGCUGCAUGGUGGGGGUUGGAAAGUUUCGGCGGUUGGGGAUGGACUCGCGGCUUAUCAGCUUGUUGGUGGGGUAGUGGCUUACCAAGGCUUUGACGGGUAGCCGGCCUGAGAGGGUGACCGGCCACAUUGGGACUGAGAUACGGCCCAGACUCCUACGGGAGGCAGCAGUGGGGAAUAUUGCACAAUGGGCGGAAGCCUGAUGCAGCAACGCCGCGUGCGGGAUGACGGCCUUCGGGUUGUAAACCGCUUUCGCCUGUGACGAAGCGUGAGUGACGGUAAUGGGUAAAGAAGCACCGGCUAACUACGUGCCAGCAGCCGCGGUGAUACGUAGGGUGCGAGCGUUGUCCGGAUUUAUUGGGCGUAAAGGGCUCGUAGGUGGUUGAUCGCGUCGGAAGUGUAGUCUUGGGGCUUAACCCUGAGCGUGCUUUCGAUACGGGUUGACUUGAGGAAGGUAGGGGAGGAUGGAAUUCCUGGUGGAGCGGUGGAAUGCGCAGAUAUCAGGAGGAACACCAGUGGCGAAGGCGGUUCUCUGGGCCUUUCCUGACGCUGAGGAGCGAAAGCGUGGGGAGCGAACAGGCUUAGAUACCCUGGUAGUCCACGCUGUAAACGGUGGGUACUAGGUGUGGGGUCCAUUCCACGGGUUCCGUGCCGUAGCUAACGCUUUAAGUACCCCGCCUGGGGAGUACGGCCGCAAGGCUAAAACUCAAAGGAAUUGACGGGGCCCCGCACAAGCGGCGGAGCAUGCGGAUUAAUUCGAUGCAACGCGUAGAACCUUACCUGGGUUUGACAUGGAUCGGGAGUGCUCAGAGAUGGGUGUGCCUCUUUUGGGGUCGGUUCACAGGUGGUGCAUGGCUGUCGUCAGCUCGUGUCGUGAGAUGUUGGGUUAAGUCCCGCAACGAGCGCAACCCUUGUUCACUGUUGCCAGCACGUUAUGGUGGGGACUCAGUGGAGACCGCCGGGGUCAACUCGGAGGAAGGUGGGGAUGACGUCAAGUCAUCAUGCCCCUUAUGUCCAGGGCUUCACGCAUGCUACAAUGGCUGGUACAGAGAGUGGCGAGCCUGUGAGGGUGAGCGAAUCUCGGAAAGCCGGUCUCAGUUCGGAUUGGGGUCUGCAACUCGACCUCAUGAAGUCGGAGUCGCUAGUAAUCGCAGAUCAGCAACGCUGCGGUGAAUACGUUCCCGGGGCUUGUACACACCGCCCGUCAAGUCAUGAAAGUUGGUAACACCCGAAGCCGGUGGCCUAACCGUUGUGGGGGAGCCGUCGAAGGUGGGACUGGUGAUUAGGACUAAG
rnacentral:rRNA from 1 species